rnacentral:rRNA from 1 species
CGCGUAGGCGGUCUGAUAAGUCAGUUGUGAAAGCCCGGGGCUCAACCCCGGAAGUGCAAUUGAAACUGUCAGGCUUGAGUAUGGUAGAGGGAAGUGGAAUUCCUGGUGUAGCGGUGAAAUGCGUAGAUAUCAGGAGGAACACCGGUGGCGAAGGCGACUUCCUGGACCAAUACUGACGCUGAGGCGCGAAGGUGUGGGGAGCAAACA